AGUGAACGCUGGCGGCGUGCCUAAUACAUGCAAGUCGAACGAAGUGGCGCACGGGUGAGUAAUAUAUAGUUAAUCUGCCCUACACAGAGGAACAACAGUUGGAAACGACUGCUAAUACCUCCUAGUGUCGGAUGAGACUAUAUCGUAUCAGCUAGUUGGUAAGGUAAUGGCUUACCAAGGCUAUGACGCGUAACUGGUAUGAGAGGAUGAUCAGUCCCAUGUGAACUGAGACACGGUCCAAACUGCUACGGUGGGCAGCAGUGGAGAAUAUUGCACAAGGGGGGAACCCCUGAUGCAGCAACGCCGCGGGUGGGAUGACGGCCUGCGGGUGGUAAACCGCUUAGUAUACGAAGCCGGUAGUUGCAGAAGAAGCACCGGCUAACUACGUGCCAGCCGCCGCGGUAAUAC
rnacentral:rRNA from 1 species